UCCACGUGGUUACACACAACCUAUUAAUAUCAAAUCAAGUCACUUCUGUUUCCUGAAGGUGGAGCUUGUGUUAUUGGCAGAUGCCAUUUGAUUUCUGCUCCUCCCUUCCUGGUAGCGCUUGAUAUGCACAUCCCCUCAGACUGUAGUGAUAAUCAAUAAUCAACUAGCAUGAAGCGUCAACCCAUUGUGCCAUUUAAUGGGGUGUACGAUUGAUUUCUUUUAUGAAUGUUUACAUUUCUGUGCACAUGUGAAGACUACUGAUUAAUCCUCGGGACUGAAGGUUUUAUAUUGUAUCCGAUUAUAGGAUCUUGAAUGUUUCAUUUUUUCAGACUGAAAUAGUUAGACAGACUUCUCAUUCUGUGGAAAUGUAACAAUUAUCCAAAA